rnacentral:misc_RNA from 1 species
GAUGAAGAACGUAGCGAAAUGCGAUAAGUAGUGUGAAUUGCAGAAUUCCGUGAAUCAUCGAAUCUUUGAACGCACAUUGCGCCCGCGAGUAUUCUCGCGGGCAUGCCUGUCCGAGCGUCAUUUCAACCCUCAGGGCCCGCCUGCUUCGGCAGGCGCGGCGCUGGUGUUGGGGAUCGGCCUAACCGCCGUCCCCCAAAUACAGUGGCGGUCUCGCUGCAGCCUCCCCUGCGUAGUAGCAACACUCGCAUGCGGAGCGCGGCGCGGCCACGCCGUAAAACCCCCGACUUUCUGAACGUUGACCUCGGAUCAGGUAGGAAUACCCGCUGAACUUAAGCAUAUCAAUAAGCGGAGGA